rnacentral:rRNA from 1 species
AUACGGAGGAUGCGAGCGUUAUCCGGAUUCAUUGGGUUUAAAGGGUGCGCAGGCGGCCAUUUAAGUCAGCGGUUAAAUCGUGGGGCUCAACCCCAUUCUGCCGUUGAUACUGGGUGGCUUGAUUGCGGUCGAGGUUGGCGGAAUUCGUUGUGUAGCGGUGAAAUGCAUAGAUAUGACGAAGAACACCGAUUGCGUAGGCAGCUGACCAGACCGCAAAUGACGCUCAUGCACGAAAGUGCGGGGAUCGAACAGGAUUAGAUACCCUGGUAGUCCGCACAGUAAACGAUGAAUACUUGUUUUCGGCGAUAUAAUGUCGGAGGCAAAGCGAAAGCGAUAAGUAUUCCACCUGGGGAGUACGCCGGCAACGGUGAAACUUAAAGGAAUUGACGGGG